CUCCCCCUCUCAUUGCUCUCGAAGUUCCUUCCUUUUUCCCUUUUUAUCCCUCUUCGCUAUCACACAAAUCGUGAGUAAUUCAGGAAACUCGGUGAAAUUGAUGUAUGCUGAAGUUGUGUUUGUCGUGUUGGAUGUUCUAAAUGAAAAAAAGUGUUCUUUUUUUCCCUUAAAAAGUGUUUUGUUUGUUUAUUUUGGUUUUCGUUUGCCUUGUUCUGGUGGUUGUUGCAACAGUGUAAUUGAAGCUGUUUCUGCUUGAUAAACCCACUUGCUAGCUAAAUAGAACUGAAUGAAUCAUUGUGUUGCCUAAAACUCUUGGAAUGAUUUAAGUUUCUGUAAAUUUGGUUGGUAAGAUAAGGAGAGUGACUGAACACGUUUAUUGUUUUGCAUGCUUCCUCGCUAUAAGCUACCUUGUUGAAUUUUGAUAGUCUGUUGUAAUAUUUGGUCUCAAUAGGUGCUGCUGAUCACUAUAAUUUUGCCGGUAAUGCUAGGGAGAUAAUCACCAAAAUUACCUUGUUUACUUUAACA